GAUGAACGCUGGCGGCGUGCCUAAUACAUGCAAGUCGAGCGAACGGACGAGAAGCUUGCUUCUAUGAUGUUAGCGGCGGACGGGUGAGUAACACGUGGAUAACCUACCUAUAAGACUGGGAUAACUUCGGGAAACCGGAGCUAAUACCGGAUAAUAUUUUGAACCGCAUGGUUCAAAAGUGAAAGACGCUCUUGCUGUCACUUAUAGAUGGAUCCGCGCUGCAUUAGCUAGUUGGUAAGGUAACGGCUUACCAAGGCAACGAUGCAUAGCCGACCUGAGAGUGUCUUCGCCCACACUGGAUCUGAGACACGGUCCAGACUCCUGCGGGAGGCACCAGUAGAGAAUCGUCCGGUAUGGACGAAAGCCUGACAGUGCAACGCCGCGUGAGUGAUGAAGAUCUUCGGUUCUGAGAACUCUGUUAUUAGGGUAGAACAUAUGUGUAAGUAACUGUGCACAUCUUGACGGUACCUAAUGAGAAAGCCUCGGCUAACUACGUG
rnacentral:rRNA from 1 species